GCUGAGGCUCGAAAGUAUGGGUAGCAAACAGGAUUAGAUACCCUGGUAGUCCAUACCGUAAACGAUGAAUGCUAAGUGUUGGAGGGUAUUCGGCGCAUCAGUCCUGCUCCUAACGCAUUAAGCUUUCCGCCUGGGGAGUACGGCCGCAAGGCUGAAACUCAAAGGAAUUGACGGGGGCCCGCACAAGCGGUGGAGCAUGUGGUUUAAUUCGAAGCUACGCGAAGAACCUUACCAGGUCUUGACAUACUAUGCAAAUCUAAGAGAUUAGACGUUCCCUUCGGGGACAUGGAUACAGGUGGUGCAUGGUUGUCGUCAGCUCGUGUCGUGAGAUGUUGGGUUAAGUCCCGCAACGAGCGCAACCCUUAUUAUCAGUUGCCAGCAUUAAGUUGGGCACUCUGGUGAGACUGCCGGUGACAAACCGGAGGAAGGUGGGGAGACGUCAAAUCAUCAUGCCCCUUAUGACCUGGGCUACACACGUGCUACAAGGAUGGUACAACGAGUUGCGAACUCGCGAGAGUAAGCUAAUCUCUUAAAGCCAUUCUCAGUUCGGAUUGUAGGCUGCAACUCGCCUACAUGAA
rnacentral:rRNA from 1 species